AGAUUGAACGCUGGCGGCAGGCCUAACACAUGCAAGUCGAGCGGUAGAGAGGUGCUUGCAUCUCUUGAGAGCGGCGGACGGGUGAGUAAUGCCUAGGAAUCUGCCUAGUGGUGGGGGAUAACGUUCGGAAACGGACGCUAAUACCGCAUACGUCCUACGGGAGAACGCGGGGGACCUUCGGGCCUCGCGCCAUUAGAUGAGCCUAGGUCGGAUUAGCUAGUUGGUGAGGUAAUGGCGCACCAAGGCGACGAUCCGUAACUGGUCUGAGAGGAUGAUCAGUCACACUGGAACUGAGACACGGUCCAGACUCCUACGGGAGCAGCAGUGGGGAAUUUGGACAAUGGGACGAAAGCCUGAUCCAGCCAUGCCGCGUGCAGGAU
rnacentral:rRNA from 1 species